ensembl:lncRNA
UUUGAGUAUUUCCUCCUUCUGGAUUCCCAGAUGAUGUUUGACUGCUCCUGAGUGGAAGAGCAGAGAGCAGAUGCUUAGGUGUACACGAGUACAAAAGUCAGCAUUUGCCUGUCAGACAUGCUGGUAGUGUUUCUAGAUAUAAAAGGGACUGAGCUGACCUCUCUUUCCUGGGAUUCUUCACAGACCUCUCCCUGCACCAGAGCACCCGACAGGCAUUUCUGAGUUCCUGCCAGAUGACAUGAACAUCCUCUAAUCUCAGACUUCGUGCAAAACAAUCCACUGGUGUUCUGUAUCUCUAGAGUACAAGUUGGAACACAAAAAUACCCGUUAUCACAAAUGUAGUUCAUGCUAUUACAAAGUGUCACUAAAUAGAGGCUAUUGCAACCAAACAUACAUGCAGUCACAAACAAAAUACACUCUAUCAUGUAGUUCACCCUAUCACAAAAUACACGCUAUCACACAGUAUAUACUAUCAUAAGCAAAGUACACAGUAUCUCAAAGUACACACUAUCCCCAAAUACUUCCCUUCACAAAGUGCAUACUAUCACAGAAUUCAUGCUAUCACAAGCAACUGAUCCUGUGAUGACAAACUAAAGCUCAUGCAAUCAUCAACAAAAAUACAUGCUAUCACAAAUAAAUUACAACUAAGAUCAGUCUGGAGUUUCCUCAGAAAAUUGGACAUAGUACUACCUGAGGACCCAGCUAUACAACUCCUGGGCAUAUACCCAAAAGAUACUCCAACAUAUAACAAGGAUGUGUGUUCCGCUAUGUUCAUAGCAGCCUUAUUUAUAAUAUCCAGAAGCUGGAAAGAACCCACAUGUCCUUCAACAGAGUAAUGGAUACAGAAAAUGUGGCACAUCUACCCAAUGGAGUACUACUCAGCUAUUAAAAACAAUGACUUCAUAAAAUUCAUAGGACAAUGGAUGGAACUAGAAAAUAUCAUCCUGAGUGAGGUAACCAAAUCAAAAAAACACACAUGGUAUGCACUCACUGAUAUGUGGAUAUUACCCCAAAAGCUUGGAAUACCCAAGAUACAAUACACAGACCACAUGAAACUCAAGAAGAAGGAGGACCAAAGUGUGGAUGCUUCAGUCCUUCUUAGAAGGAGGAACAACAAUAUAGGAGGUAUUGCAGAAACAAAGUUGGGAGCAGAGACUGAAGAGAUCUUUCAUUGGACCUAAUAUUGUGUGCAUCUUAUUUCUGGAACUGAGGUUCAAAUAUUAACCUGAUUAAAGUUCCAAAUAUACUCAACCAACUAUUUUGUGUAAAACUCAAUGGCAUAAUGUUGUGGAAAACAUUACUAGCACAGGGCAAGACUAAGAUUCAUUGAAAGGAUCCAAGCAGCUACUGUGCCAACCAGCAUCUGGUGACAGCUUCAAACCCGUAGUCACAUAGACAGCUCAGUUCCAGGGCUUCCUGCAUAGCUGAGACUACAGGAAUGAACUAGAAGUUUGAGUUACCCUUGGUGAAAUUGUGUAAACCCUGAAAACCCUUGGUCUCCACAAGCUCCCCUCUUCCAUUUGGGAUACCACCCUGUUCCCGUUCCACUGGCCAGAUAUGCUGCCAACAUGAUGCCCAUUCCUCCUGGCAGCCAUCAUUCUUCCAGUGGGUGGACACAGGACUCCAACAAGAAAAUCAGACUCUCCCUGAAUCUUACAUAAGGCACUAAGGAAAAAAUGGCCAUCCUUUCACUGUUGCUCUGACAGAUGAACUGAGAGCUGCUGUCUACCAUAUUCUAUAACCAUAAAGGAAAGCUCAUCAGUAAAAGUAGAGACUGGGGCCCAGCCCAUCACCCAACAUAAACAUGGGGAUGCCAGCUGCUGUAACACUGGGAAUUUGGAGGAGUCAGCACAAAAGUGUGAACACAAGGAAGCAUUCUGAUGAUUCUGCUCAUCAUAGACAACCUGCAAUAAAAAGUAAAGCAAGGCAAGCUCUACUUCCACAGAACUGAUCUGAAAACAGUAAAACAGCACAAGCAAAGGAGCAUCUAUCUGCCUCUGUGAAGAGAUGUACCUUUGCCCUGGAUGCAACAGUCCUUAGAAGAGGGCUGGGCAAAUAAUCCUAAACCUUUUGAAAAUGGAGAAGCUUCAUUAUCUACAUUUGCAAAGACAGAAAGGUGGUGAAAAUGGACCAUGAAAAUGGGACCUAAAAUAUUUGGGAGUUUUGAGGAAUACAUACUCCUUUCCUUCAAAUAAGAUG